rnacentral:lncRNA from 1 species
CCUAAAGUGCACCAUGGUGAGGAAAAUCUUGCCUUCUUAAAUUUUUUUUAUUUUUAUUAUUAUUAAUUUUUUGAUGAAUCUUGUACUGUUGCCCGGGCUAGUAUGCAGUGGUACAAUCUUGGCUCACUGCAACCUCCACCUUCCGGGUUCAAGUGAUUCCCCUGUCUCAGCUUUCUCAGUAGCUAGGAUUACAAACACCUACCACCACGACUGGCUAAUGUUUUUUAUUUUUAUUUUGAGUAGAGAUGGGGUUUCACUAUGCUGGCCAGGCUGGUCUCAAACUCCUAACCUCAUGAUCCAUCAGCCUUGGCCUCCCAAAGUGUUGGGAUUAAAGUUGUGAGCCACUACACCUGGCCGAAAAUCUUGCAUUUAAGCAAAGAAGGAAUGAGUCUGAAAGCAGGAAUGGAAACGGGAAAAGAUAAGGGGGCCAGAAGGAAAGUGGAGGAGAAAAGAAGGGUUAGGGUCUGAGAGGGAGAAAAGAUCCAAGUAUUUUCAGCCCCAUGGCCUGGAGUUGCAAGUGGGUGGGGCAAGGCCACUGGAGCUGUGACAGCCUUGAAAGCCAGGGUGACUCAUGUGGGGGCCCUCUGUUUCCUCUGGGUGUGUCACACCCUGGGCUCCAGGUCCCCAGUGGCACACGUACUGGCACAGAGUUGGGCGUCUGCAUCAAGCUUCUGUUCCUGGUGCCAGGAUGGUCCGGGAUGGGUCAGGACCUGGACUAAGGAGUGGAUUCACCAGAGGAAAUUAUAUUUCAUGAGAUGGAACAUUCUGGGAAUGCUGACACUCAGCAGACCCCUGACUAUAUCAAAAGUAAGAAGUUGCAUGAUUUGGUCAUUUGGGUCGCACAAGUCCUCUGUCAAAUUUGCUCAUUUGUGUUUAAUUUUUUCUUUGUCAUUUCUUAUGUUGGUUUUGUUGUUGUUUUCUUUGAGACAGGCUCUCACUGUGUCACCCAGUCUGGAGUGCAGUGGCAUCACCUCAACCCCCUGCAACCUCAAACUCCCUGGCUCAAGUGAUCCUCCCACCAUAGCCUCCUGAGGAGCUGGGACUACAGGCUUGUGCUACUACGCUUGGUCAAUUUUUAAAAUUCUCUGUAGAGACAUGGUCUCACCAUGUUGCCACGGCUGAUCUCCAACUCCUAGCCUCAAGCGAUUCUCCAGCAUUGGCCUCCCAAAUUUCUGGGAUUGCAGGUGUGAGCCACCACUCCUGGUCCAAAAAGUUGCUACUUUUUAGUUUUUACUUUUGUCAUGGUUGUAUGACAUUAUGUAGAUUUUUAAAAUUCUGUAUAAUUAAUGUGGGCAAUGCUAUACAAUAAAAUGUUUCUUCAGCCACA